rnacentral:rRNA from 1 species
GAUGAACGCUAGCGGCAGGCUUAACACAUGCAAGUCGAGGGGUAUAGUAGCAAUACUAGAGACCGGCGCACGGGUGCGUAACGCGUAUGCAAUCUACCUUUGCAGAGGGAUAGCCCAGAGAAAUUUGGAUUAAUACCUCAUAGUAUUAUAGUAUGGCAUCAUAUUAUAAUUAAAGUCACAACGGCAAAAGAUGAGCAUGCGUCCCAUUAGUUAGUUGGUAAGGUAACGGCUUACCAAGACUACGAUGGGUAGGGGUCCUGAGAGGGAGAUCCCCCACACUGGUACUGAGACACGGACCAGACUCCUACGGGAGGCAGCAGUGAGGAAUAUUGGACAAUGGGCGCAAGCCUGAUCCAGCCAUGCCGCGUGCAGGAUGACGGUCCUAUGGAUUGUAAACUGCUUUUGCACAGGAAGAAACAACGCUACGUGUAGCGUCUUGACGGUACUGUGAGAAUAAGGAUCGGCUAACUCCGUG